rnacentral:rRNA from 1 species
AACGUAGGAGACAAACGUUAUCCGGAGUUACUGGGCGUAAAGGGCGUGUAGGUGGUUUCGUAAGUCUGGCGUGAAAUUUUUCGGCUUAACCGGGAAAGGUCGUCGGAUACUGCGGAGCUAGAGGACGGUAGAGGCGUGUGGAAUUCCGGGUGUAGCGGUGGAAUGCGUAGAGAUCCGGAAGAACACCGGUGGCGAAGGCGGCCUGCUGGGCAGUUGCUGCACUGAGGCGCGCAGCGUGGGGAGCAAACAGG